AUGAGGAGAAACCAUGUGACGGAGUCACAAUUAGGAUGGUUUCGACGACCUGCCGCCGAGCAGAGGCGAGGGGGCGAUACCUAUU
rnacentral:sRNA from 12 species